GGCUCAGGACGAACGCUGGCGGCAUGCUUCAUACAUGCAAGUCGAACGAUAAGGUCUCUUCGGAGAUACAUAAGUGGCGGACGGGUGAGUAAUAUGUAGGAAAUCUGCCCUUGAGAGGGGGACAACAGAGGGAAACUUCUGCUAAUACCCCAUAUGAGCGUACCUGAAAUGGUAUUCUUGAAAACUCCGGUGCUCAAGGAUGAGCCUGCAUCUGAUUAGCUUGUUGGCGGUGUAAUGGACCACCAAGGCGACGAUCAGUAGCUGGUUUGAGAGGAUGAUCAGCCACAAUGGGACUGAGACACGGCCCAUACUCCUACGGGAGGCAGCAGUAGGGAAUUUUGCGCAAUGGGCGAAAGCCUGACGCAGCAAUGCCGCGUGAACGUAGAAGCCCUUCGGGGUGUAAAGUUCUGUCAGUGGGGACGAAUUUUGACGGUACCCACAGAGGAAGCACCGGCUAACUCCGUGCCAGCCGCCGC
rnacentral:rRNA from 1 species